rnacentral:rRNA from 1 species
GACGAACGCUGGCGGCGUGCUUAACACAUGCAAGUCGAACGGAAAGGCCCUGCUUUUGUGGGGUGCUCGAGUGGCGAACGGGUGAGUAACACGUGAGUAACCUGCCCUUGACUUUGGGAUAACUUCAGGAAACUGGGGCUAAUACCGGAUAGGAGCUCCUGCUGCACGGUGGGGGUUGGAAAGUGUCGGCGGUUGGGGAUGGACUAGCGGCUUACGAGCUUGUUGGUGGGGUAGUGGCUUACCAAGGCUUUGAAGGAUAGGCGGCCUGAGAGGGUGACCGGCCACAUGGGGACUGAGAUACGGCCCAGACUCCUACGGGAGGCAGCAGUGGGGAAUAUUGCAGAAUGGGCGGAAGCCUGAUGCAGCAGCGCCGCGUGCGGGAUGACGGCCUUCGGGUUGUAAACCGCUUUCGCCUGUGACGAAGCGUGAGUGACGGUAAUGGGUAAAGAAGCACCGGCUAACUACGUG